CGAGCCCGGCGACGUUUUGCUGCAGCGGUAGCCUUGAGUGCCAGCAUCAGCGCAGUUCCAUCCGUGCUGUUUUGCACACGAGCCAGCUCCUCUCCAAGGCCCUUCAGGAUCUCGAGGCUGACCACCAAAACAGUGUGAAUCUGGGUCCUUAGGAGCUUGAACACCAUCAGGUGCCAAUGCUCUGCUCAUUGUGGACAAGUACUGCGACGAGGACAGCACCUGCCUUCGUGCAAUAUUUCUGGAUGCUUCUUCAUUGUGACUAAUGUGAAACUAUUGUGCAAUUUAACCUUUGUUUACUUCACUAAAAUAAUAAAUGAACCCAACAAUUACAAGAGCAAGCUUGGAAGUGUUGAGACUUCAUAUUACUUUGACUAAAAAAUAAGAAAAAUAUAAUUUUUUAAUGCAGGAA